rnacentral:rRNA from 1 species
UACGUAGGGGGCAAGCGUUGUCCGGAUUCAUUGGGCGUAAAGCGCGUGUAGGCGGUUCGAUAGGUCCGAUGUGAAAACUCGAGGCUCAACUUCGAGAGGUCAUCGGAAACCAUCGGACUAGAGUCCGGAAGAGGAGAGUGGAAUUCCUGGUGUAGCGGUGUAAUGCGCAGAUAUCAGGAAGAACACCGAUGGCGAAGGCAGCUCUCCGGGACGGUACUGACGCUGAGACGCGAAAGCGUGGGGAGCGAACAGGAUUAGAUACCCUGGUAGUCCACGCCGUAAACGAUGGGCACUAGGUGUGGGUGGUGUCGACUCCAUCCGUGCCGCAGCUAACGCAUUAAGCGCCCCGCCUGGGGAGUACGACCGCAAGGUUG